AUACGUAGGGUGCGAGCGUUGUCCGGAAUUACUGGGCGUAAAGAGCUCGUAGGCGGUUUGUCGCGUCGUCUGUGAAAUUCCGGGGCUUAACUCCGGGCGUGCAGGCGAUACGGGCAUAACUUGAGUACUGUAGGGGAGACUGGAAUUCCUGGUGUAGCGGUGAAAUGCGCAGAUAUCAGGAGGAACACCGGUGGCGAAGGGGGGUCUCUGGGCAGUAACUGACUGUGAGGAGCGAAAGCAUGGGUAGCGAACAGGAUUAGAUACCCUGGUAGUCCAUGCCGUAAACGGUGGGCGCUAGGUGUAGGGGUCUUCCACGACUUCUGUGCCGUAGCUAACGCAUUAAGCGCCCCGCCUGGGGAGUACGGCCGCAAGGCUAAAACUCAAAUGAAUUGACGGGG
rnacentral:rRNA from 1 species